GUCACAGUGCAGUUACCGUUCACUGUCGGCAGGAAUAUCCAUGUCCCAUGACAGGAGUGUUCAAGUGUAAGGUCAAGGAUGCCUUCUAGAACUGUGGCGAUUUAACCAGGGAAGACAUUUGGACAAGAUGGGACAGUGGAGAUUUCAAGAAAACAGCACAAAAGCACUCAUAAACCCGGAAUAAAGACAAAUUGAGCCCAGGAUUUUCCUCAUGUUAGGCAAGCAUUUUACUGCUGAAAAAUAUCACCAGAGAAGCUACGUUGAACCUAACAACAUGUGAUGGAAGGAGAUUAGGGCAUUUGAAGACAAAAAUUUCAAAACAGAAGAAAAAGAGUAAGUUUUGCAACUCCCAGACACAAGGAACGUGGGUAUGCUGUGAGUAGACAAGGAGAUAAGCCCGGACUUUGAAAGGGACAAGGGAAGUUCUCUUCUAAGGGGACAGACGUGUGUCAACAACAGCAAGAAAGUGAAAGGAGCUUUACAGAAACAUGCAACAGGAGUUUCAUGCUGAGAAGUGGGACUGAUUGAAAAAUGGGAACACAAGAUGGACAUGGCAAGAAUGGAGAUGAUUUAAUUGAUUUGAUAAACCUAGAAAAUAAAUGUGUGAAAAUGGAAGUCAAGGAAUAAAAGAGUUCUGACUUAACUGAGCUUAUCUGAACUAUCAAAACAUAGAUGGUUUUAAAGAAAUGUAAUUGUUAGCUUCAGGAAAGGCUGUGAGUUACCACUGAAAUUCCAAGAGUAUUUACUUGUGAUGUAUAGCUCUAGAGCAUACACUCAAGUUUGAAAGACUAAAGUCAGUGUUUUGACUGUUUGCUAGUCAAGGGUGUUAAGCGAAGGGACGCAAGUUUAAGACAACUAAAUGAGUGUUGACUCCAUGGGAGGGAUUACCGCAAGUAGAUUACAGGUAGAUGUAAGAAUCUCUGCGAUGCAUGGAAUAUUCUCUAGUGAAAUAAUGUCAUGGAUUAACGUUAGAAAUGGGCAUCCAGUUCCUUUUUAGUAAGAUGGAAAACUUGUUAAAUGGAUCUGCUGGGAUGUUUGUGGCUGCCAGUAGCAGUAAAUUUGGGUAUUUACAGUCAGUAAGGACAUUGACAUCUUCCAAGAAUAAUUUCAUAGGCAAGAUACACUCAAGGGUAGUUUGAAUUUGUGGAUGAAUAAGAGAACCAAAAAAAGCUAUUUCCUAUCAAUGUUCUUUUCUGACAUUUUCUAUGGGUUGGAUUGAAAUAUUAAUCCUGUAUAGUUACAAAUUGGCCACAGUUAGCAACAUUUAUGUUCGCAUUUUUGGUUACAUAUCUUAAGGAACAGCUAAAUCUUGUAGUAAGUGUAUGUUACUAAAUAUUGCGUAUCUAUGCUACAAUACGUGCAUACCAUUCAUGUUCCCAGCCGAAAUGUGUGCAAUACAUUCUCAGCGAUAUUUGGCAGUUUCUGUCUCUCUAACAUUAUGAUUUGAAGUGGUAUAAAGUUACAGUUUAAAUGUUUGUUUUCCUGAUGACAGUUGACAUCAGUAACUUUUUUUAAUGUUCUGGUUCAUAUAUUUUUGAGACAUAUUUUUUAGAUGUAUGUACAUUUUGGAAGGAUAUUUAUCCCCCUAAUUUUUAAUGAAGAGCUCUUUUUGGAUACAAAUGAUUUGCCAAAUAUUUGCCAUAUUUUAGCAGAAAUUUUGUGCUGUAAAGAUAUAGGGAUGCUAUUUAUGAAGAUAUUUAAAUAAGCUAGAGUUGCUACAUAAAUCCUGAUUUUACAUUACAUGAAUGGCUCACCGUAAGAUCCCAUUUAAGUUAAAUCAAUAAAUAAACAUCUAAUUGAAAGAAAAAUAUAAAAUCUGGUUAUAAUUCUACACACUAACAUUUACA